rnacentral:rRNA from 1 species
UACGUAGGGUGCGAGCGUUAAUCGGAAUUACUGGGCGUAAAGCGUGCGCAGGCGGUCUGUUAAGGCCGAUGUGAAAUCCCCGGGCUUAACCUGGGAACUGCAUUGGUGACUGGCAGGCUUUGAGUGUGGCAGAGGGGGGUAGAAUUCCACGUGUAGCAGUGAAAUGCGUAGAGAUGUGGAGGAAUACCGAUGGCGAAGGCAGCCCCCUGGGCCAACACUGACGCUCAUGCACGAAAGCGUGGGGAGCAAACAGG